rnacentral:sRNA from 1 species
UCAGUGGUAGGACACUUGCCUCACCCCAUAAGGUCUUGAUUUUAAGUAAAUAAAUAAGAGAGUUGGCUUGGCAUUUUAUUCAAACGCUGGACAGCAGAAAGGAAUAGCUAUGGCUCUCUGGUAAUGUCUAACCAGCUUCUAUACCACCGUCUCAAGCCAGUCCUGUUUGUCUAUUUCCUACUCUUAGCUUUUACCUCUGGGGUAUUUUAAAGCACGCCUUAGAGAUCACACUGUUUUACCCACAGGUGAUCCUGUGGGCGUCCUUACUGUAAGGACUGAGAGUGCCAGUGUUUUCAUGACAAACAGCACAGACUUACACAACAGACGGUUGUUUUUCUUGUAGAUCUGGAAGCCAGAAAUCCAGAUCAAAGUGCUAUCAGGGUUAGUGUUAUGAUUUCGGUAGGAAAUAUCCCUUACAGGCUGUGUGAGCACUGCUUCCAAGCUGGGGCAACUAUUUUGGGGAUGCUGUGGAACCCUUGGGAAGAAGAGACUACUCAGACUAUGAUGAUGCCCAGGUUUCUCCUGCAUCAUCAUGGAUGUCACCACAACCCAGACAAUGUGGGCCUUCUGAAGAUGGGAGUGUGAAGUGAAGAAGAGUAAACCCAGUGGUGUCCGGAACCUGUGAUACCACUCUGGCAGAGGAGUACUUACAAAGAGCAGAUGUGUGUACGUGUCUGGCCUCUGGCUCCUGCUACACUGUCAAUACUGGAUCCUCACCAGGACUCCUCUUGGAUAUCCUGUUGUUGCCCUGUGUCAUGGAGAUUCUGUGGAUGUUGGGGCACCCAGCAAAUGACUGUGAAUCAGAGAGACUUCCUUCUAGGUUUAUCCCAGGCGUGUUCUGUUGAGAACGGAGCAACUACUGAACCACAGGAAGGUGGCUACUGAUGGAAUCACCAGGGGUGACCGUGGAGAUUGACAAAGAGGACGGGCGAGUAGUUCUGGCUGGAGAGAAUGGUUUCGAAUAAAACCACAGCUCAGGUUUUUGA